UCCUAUUAGUUUGGUGCAAAAGUAAUUGCAGCUUUUGCCAUUACUUUAAAAAAUGGCAAAAACCGUAAUUACUUUUGCACCAACCUA
rnacentral:miRNA from 1 species